CUUGAAAUACCACCCUUUAAUGUUUGAUGUUCUAACGUUGGCCCCUGAUCGGGGUUGCGGACAGUGUCUGGUGGGUAGUUUGACUGGGGCGGUCUCCUCCUAAAGAGUAACGGAGGAGCACGAAGGUUGGCUAAUCCUGGUCGGACAUCAGGAGGUUAGUGCAAUGGCAUAAGCCAGCUUGACUGCGAGCGUGACGGCGCGAGCAGGUGCGAAAGCAGGUCAUAGUGAUCCGGUGGUUCUGAAUGGAAGGGCCAUCGCUCAACGGAUAAAAGGUACUCCGGGGAUAACAGGCUGAUACCGCCCAAGAGUUCAUAUCGACGGCGGUGUUUGGCACCUCGAUGUCGGCUCAUCACAUCCUGGGGCUGAAGUAGGUCCCAAGGGUAUGGCUGUUCGCCAUUUAAAGUGGUACGCGAGCUGGGUUUAGAACGUCGUGAGACAGUUCGGUCCCUAUCUGCCGUGGGCGCUGGAGAACUGAGGGGGGCUGCUCCUAGUACGAGAGGACCGGAGUGGACGCAUCACUGGUGUUCGGGUUGUCAUGCCAAUGGCACUGCCCGGUAGCUAAAUGCGGAAGAGAUAAGUGCUGAAAGCAUCUAAGCACGAAACUUGCCCCGAGAUGAGUUCUCCCUGACCCUUUAAGGGUCCUGAAGGAACGUUGAAGACGACGACGUUGAUAGGCCGGGUGUGUAAGCGCAGCGAUGCGUUGAGCUAACCGGUACUAAUGAACCGUGAGGCUUAACCUUACAACGCCGAAG
rnacentral:rRNA from 1 species